CGGAACCCGGCGGAGGAAGCCCCCGGCAGGGUUUUCGAAGAGUCGGCACGAAGCGGAGCGGAGGGAGAGUCCGUCUACACUGGUGGGGCGCCGGGCGGCUCCGUCGGCCCGCCGUCUGCCUUGGACUCGGGUCGUGACCCCAGGGCCCUGGGCUCGAGCCCCGCGUCGGGCCCCCCGCUCCGCGGGGAGACUCUGCUUCCCCCUCCGCCUGCCCCUUCCCGGCUGGUGCCCUCGCUCGCUCGAGAGCUCGCUCGAGUGAAUGAAAUCUUUGAAAAGAGCGAGUCUGCGUUGGUUACGUGGUGAAAUGACAGCUGCUGAAGUUAUGUUUUGGUGUUUUGGUGUUUGCUUUUCUUAACUCGACGUAGCCAACGAAGAUGUGGGGUGACGUGCGUGACUGGCGCUGGAUUUCUCUUGGUCGCGGACCCGGACCGAGAAGCCAGGUCCUGCCCUUUCCCGACUGCAGGACAGUCCGCGGACGCACCUCCGCCAGUUCUCUCGUGAGACAAGAAUUGGGCUGCAUGUGUAGCUUGUGAGAUCCUGCUCAGUGGGGCCGAGGUCUUCUGCCUCUGCAAGUGUGUGUUGGAUGAAUGACAACCACGGGAACUCUCCAGGGACCCCCUUUUGUCACCAUAGAAACUCCAGGAAUCUUCUCUUUGGUGUGAUCUUAAUGGAUCCUUGGUGAUCCCCAGCUGACAUACCCUCACUAGAUCCUCAGGGCUCCUUCGUUGCAUAGCCUGAUGAGCUCUUCCGGGAUCCUGUCCUUACAUGACCUCAGGGAAUCUCCAGAGAUCUUCCAAUAAAGUUUCAGUGGAUCCGCAGGGACUCCCUCCUGACACAGCCUCAGGCAGUCUCCCGGGAUUCUCUCCUAGUGGAGCUCAGGAAGGCCCCAGGGACCUCUUCCCAAUAUACAGCCCCGAGGCCUCAGAAAUCCUCUCAGAGACUGGCUCCUAACAGCCUCCGGGGUCCCCUGUGGACAUCACUGGGGACCUCAGGGGUUCUGUGCAGCUCUUCUGGCUCAUUGCAAGAAUCAGCGAGGUGACAGCAGGACCGAAGAUGAUGGAAGUAGAGUUCACAGAGAAAAAAUGGACAGUAGUUAGUGACUGGCUGGAUGC